rnacentral:rRNA from 1 species
UACAGAGGGGGCAAGCGUUGUUCGGAAUUACUGGGCGUAAAGGGCGCGUAGGCGGCCUUCUAAGUCGAACGUGAAAUCCCCGGGCUCAACCCGGGAACUGCGUCCGAUACUGGAUGGCUAGAGGUUGGGAGAGGGAUGCGGAAUUCCAGGUGUAGCGGUGAAAUGCGUAGAUAUCUGGAGGAACACCGGUGGCGAAGGCGGCAUCCUGGACCAAUUCUGACGCUGAGGAGCGAAAGCCAGGGGAGCAAACGGG